rnacentral:lncRNA from 1 species
UUCAAUAAAUAAUUAUCAAACUUGUAUUUACGUGUGCGUGUUGUUUUCACAUAUUAAUAUAUAAAUCAAACCAACAACAACUUAGCUGAAUCACGUUAAAGUUUGGUGGUUGAACUUUAGAAAAAGCUGAAUCAAUUGAAUGGGUUGUGUUUGUUCAACUUCAUCUUCAGAGAAAGUUAAAACACCAGGUUAUGAGGAU